CAUAUUGCUGGAUUGGAUGCAUUGUGUGUUGUAAGCUUUUCGUGGUGCUAGAUGUCAGACAGAUGCAAAUGGCAAAUACAUACGAAAGUGUAAAACGUGUAUGGCGAACAUUUGUUUUUCUGUCAUUAUAGAUGCUAGUUUGGUGAAAGUUCACACUGAGUGCUUCAAAUCAUUCAGACGAGAUGCUGUUUUAGGGCAGUUUAUUAAAGAAGACCUGACAUGGAUGACUUCCAAUGAGAAACGACUGCUAAUACUUAUAUACAUUCAUUACAGAAGGACCCUACCAGACUAUAUUUGAAUACGGCAUACCCAUGAAUUCUGGAACUGUUAUUCCUUAACCCAGUUUGGAGGAUAAGAGCUUACCAACUAGUUAUAAAUAUGCUGAGGCGAUGUAUUGCAAAAUGGCCAACAUACAACAAUUAAAGGAUAAUUGCAGACUACAUCCUGAUGAAGAUAUGGAUGACCCUCUGUCUGGUCAACAGGAGUUUAAAUAUGGACGGGACAGUGAUGUGGCAGCUCUUCCCUGGCUCAUUCACCUCUUGCCUUUCAUUUGUGAAAGGAAGAAAGAAGAAAGAGGGUCAAUGUGCAACUGAAGCUACUGAUUGUGCUGUGUGAUGAGAAUCAAUCCAUGCUUUGUGGUGGAUGGAUCAGCACAGCCCUGCCUGCUCUGCGUUGGGAACAGAAGUUGCAUCCAGAAUUUUUGCAUCAUUCUGGACCAAAAAGCCAUUCCCUCCAUGAUGAAGACCACUGAUGCAGCCUUCCACUACAUCAUGAGUAAAACAACUACAGAACUAAAUACCAGGUUGGAACGUAUUUAAGAAAAAUGAAACGUCUUUUGAAUUGAAAUGUCUGUUUUGUUAUGGAUAAAUCUUUAGUAUUGUGAAGGAUAAGCAUUUCUGCCUGCCAGUAAGGUAAUUGCAGUGUAUUUUAAUGUUCAAGUUUUGAGUAGGGUGGCUAAUUUAUUUUAACUCUCAUUUGAUUUAUUAAAGACCUUAUAAUAAGUGGUUUUCAUGUCACUGCGCUGUGGUAUAAGAUAACUUUCAUUAUUCCAUACUGUAUUCUGUUUCUAAUUGUAGCUGAGGUAUUUAAAUAAGCAGUGUUAAAUGCAAAGUGUUGUGUGUAUCAAUGUAAAUAUUAAAUGUGAUGUACUUUAAUAAAAAGAGGUUUUGCAAUAUUUCUUGUCAUUUGUCUUUUAUAGAAACAACCCAUUAGCA